AGAAAGAAGAGGAAGGAAGGGAGGAAAAGAGAGAGAGAGAUCAAACCUUGAUGGUUUUGGAUGAUUCAAAAGCCUAAAUCGCUUAGAAUCUCGCCCUCUUUCAUAAUCCUAGCUUUGUUUUGAGUGGGGAGCAUUGUGGAGAGAGAUAUUACCUCUCAAAAAUUCGGCCCUUUGGUGAAAAUUGGGGUUUUGAGAGUUUCUACCUCCAUUGAAGCUUGAGGAGCCAUCAAUCCUUGGUUGUGUGACCAUUGGUGGAUUGAGACAUUUGGACCAACCGUGAGUGAUCAACCAUUGGAGCAAGCUAUGGAGCUUGAAUAGCUCAUUGGAAUUGGUGUAUGUUUGUAAAAGUUGAUUGCUGAAACUGUUGGUGAAGAACAAAGGUUGACUGAAGCAUUGAGGUAAGGAUGCUGCAGGAGCCUCUGGUGGCAAGUGGCCAUACCUAGAUUAUGCAUGAAAUAUGGCACUUCUAUGAGUUUAUGCAUGCCUUUUGUAGUUGACAUGUAUAGGAUUUUAUUUUGAAAGCCCAU